AACCGUUUCCGCAACUGACGGAACUAAGGUGGGUUACCACUGGGGAGCGGAAGUUAUGUAAUUAAGAGCCAACAAGCCGACCGUCUGGGCAUAAAAA
rnacentral:ncRNA from 2 species